UGCAAUCGAGCGAUCUCGCAGAGAUAGCGGUAAACGGGUGAGGAACACGUAAAUAAUCUKSSCCUUAUCCKGACAUAGCCCUAUGAAAAUAGGGGUAAUAUCAGAUGACACCAUGAGCUCUCAUGAGCUUAUGUUUAAAGACCGGGACCGCAAGGCCGGUCGAUAUGGGAUGAGUUUGCGUAGCAUCAGCUAGUUGGUAGGGUAACGGCCUACCARGGCUAUGACGCUUAGCUGGUCUGAGAGGAUGGUCAGCCACACUGGGACUGAGACACUGCCCAGACUCCUACGGGAGGCUGCAGUCGAGAAUCUUUAGCAAUGGGCGAAAGCCUGACUAUGCGACGCCGCGUGAGGGAUGAAGGAUUUCGGUUCGUAAACCUCUUUUGGCAGGGAAGAAAAAGUUGCAGUUAAUAGCUGCAAAACUGACGGUACCUGCAGAAUAAGCCACGGCUAACUCCGUGCCAGCAGCCGCGGUAAUACGGAGGUGGCUAGCGUUACUCGGAAUUAUUGGGUGUAAAGGGCAAGUAGGCGGCUUGGUAAGUGGGGGGUGAAAUACUCCGGCURAAUCGGAGAACUGCCUUCCAAACUACCAGGCUUGAGUGUGACAGAGGAAAAUGGAAUUCUCGGUGUAAGGGUGAAAUCUGUAGAUAUCGAGAAGAACACCAGCGGCGAAGGCGAUUUUCUGGGUCACUACUGACGCUAAAUUGCGAAAGCUAGGGGAGCAAACAGAAUUAGAUACUCUGGUAGUCCU
rnacentral:rRNA from 1 species